rnacentral:rRNA from 1 species
UACGUAGGGGGCAAGCGUUGUCCGGAUUUAUUGGGCGUAAAGAGCGUGUAGGCGGUUUGGUAGGUCCGCUGUGAAAACUCGAGGCUCAACCUCGAGACGCCGGUGGAAACCAUCAGGCUAGAGUCCGGAAGAGGAGAGUGGAAUUCCUGGUGUAGCGGUGAAAUGCGCAGAUAUCAGGAAGAACACCCGUGGCUAAGGCGGCUCUCUGGUACGGUACUGACGCUGAGACGCGAAAGCGUGGGGAGCGAACAGG